rnacentral:lncRNA from 1 species
GAUUUUAAUCUGCCGCUAAAGCGCGAGAUAUUUUUUUAUAAUUCUUUUAUAUAAUCAUAUUUUUUCUUCAUUUAAAAUAGGUCUGGACAUAAAAUAUGUAACCCAAAGUCCAAUCAAACUCAAACCAAAAAACGUGAUCAGUAGCCAAUCUGAAAUAUAAGAAAUUCCAUAAUAGGUCUUAUAGUGUGGUACAUCAAAU